ensembl:lncRNA
GCUACUAGAGGAAGGAGUCAGCUACUAGAGGAAGGAGUCAGCUACUAGAGGAAGGAGUCAGCUACUAGAGGAAGGAGUCAGCUACUAGAGGAAGGAGCCAGCUACUAGAGGAAGGAGUCAGCUACUAGAGGAAGGAGUCAGCUACUAGAGGAAGGAGUCAGCUACUAGAGGAAGGAGCCAGGUCCUGUUCUGAAGGAGCCAGGUCCUGUUCGGAAGGAGUCAGCUACUAGAGGAAGGAGUCAGCUACUAGAGGAAGGAGCCAGGUCCUGUUUGGAAGGAGUCAGCUACUAGAGGAAGGAGUCAGCUACUAGAGGAAGGAGUCAGCUACUAGAGGAAGGAGCCAGGUCCUGUUCUGAAGGAGCCAGGUCCUGUUCGGAAGGAGUCAGCUACUAGAGGAAGGAGUCAGCUACUAGAGGAAGGAGCCAGGUCCUGUUCUGAAGGAGCCAGGUCCUGUUCGGAAGGAGCCAGCUACUAGAGGAACAUACAGGACAUCAUGGUGGAGAGAAAACCCCUGCUUCUGCUGCUGUUACUCUGUAUCUACACCUCCUCUGCCUACCCUGUAAGACAGACAGGACCACCUCUACCUAUCGGUGGCUGGACUGGGUUUUAUCCCAUAACCUUGCCUGACCACACAGGAGCACUGAGGACUGUCCUCUACCCUUUGACUGUAUACAACCACAACCUUCCAACACAGCCUGCCAUUGGCCAGAAUCCUGUAUCGGUGCCUGCCAUUGGCCAGAAUCCUGUAUCGGUGCCUGCCAUUGGCUGGAAUCCUCUUCUACGUUCUGUAUCGGAGCCUUUGAUUGGUCAAAAUCCUCUAUCAGUGCAUGUGAUUGGACAGGAGAUGACUGUGUUUCAGACUCCCUCCCCUCCUCAGUUUAAAGAUACGCCUGCGGCCCCUGUAGAGGAAACUCCCAUGGUGACAGGUCCACAGUCCCAGCUCCAGCCAUACUACCCACAGGCCUACCCCUACGACCCACAGCCCUACCCCUACGACCCACAGCCCUACCCCUACGACCCACAGCCCUACCCCUACGACCCAAUCACAACACAGCUACUGCCCAACCUGGAAACACUCACACCUGGGGAACAGGCACAGAUAAUGUCUAGGUUCCAUAUUAUUCCGUCAGUCUCUCAGGACAGUCAGACGGUGUUCCCCACCUGGCAGUUAAGCGGUGCAGUGGGAGGAGCCCAGUCUCAGUCGUCGUCUCUGAGUUCUGAAGAGGAAGCUUCACCUCCUGUGGUCUACACCAGGGUGAUGUUGCCUCCAGUGGUGCCAGCGUAUCAGAGCCAGGGGCUGAGUGUGGACCCUAACCCUGAACCUUCAGUCUUAACCCCUGACCCCUUACCUCUGACCCCUGACCCCGGCCACGCCCACCUGGGGAACCCCCCGACUGUAGCCCCGAUGGCCUCGGGGGGGCAGGGGACCCCCAAACCUGAGGUGGGGGGUGCGGUAGGGGUACAGAUGAAGAGUGCCGUGGAGAAGGGUACAGAGGGGGCUGUGGGGGUGAGAGAGGGGGGAGGGGUACAGAUAAAGAGUGGAGGUGCAGGUGACCCCUGUCCCUUGGAGAAGAGCCCCCCAGUAAGAGAGACCCAAACUUCUACCCAUUCCGAUCCUCGCCUCACACAUCGUCUCACCCCCAGGCAGCUCCCCAUCCGAGCUAGGAGCGAUGGGGGGAGAGCCUGAGGAGGACGGGGUUUUCUUUCCCUCUCCUACCUCUCCUACGUAUCCUCCUCUCUCCCCCUCCUACCUCUCUCCCUCUCCUCCUCUCUCCCCUCUCCCCUCUCUCACUCUCCUACCUCUCCUCCUCUCCUCCUCUCCUCCUCUCCUCCUCUCCUCCUCUCUCCCUCUCUUCCUCUCCUCCUCUCUCCCUCUCCUCCUCUCCUCCUCUCUCCCUCUCCUCCUCUCUCACUAUCCUACCUCUCCCCCUCUCUCCCUCUCCUCCUCUCCUCCUCUCUCACUCUCCUCCUCUCCUCCUCUCUCCCUCUCCUCCUCUCUCACUAUCCUACCUCUCCCCCUCUCUCCCUCUCCUCCUCUCCUCUCUCUCUCCUCUCCUUCCUCUCUCCCUCUCCUCCUCUCUCCCUCUCCUCCUCUCUCACUCUCCUACCUCUCCUCCUCUCCUCCUUUCUCCCUCUCCUCCUCUCCUCCUCUCUCCCUCUACUCCUCUCUCCCUCUCUCACUCUCCUCCUCUCUCCCUCUCUCACUCUCCUACCUCUUUCCCCUCAAAAGGUUCCAUUGUAUUGUCCUACAGUUUGUCAUAUGUAUAGUUGUCCCUUGUUCUUGGUCAAGUGAUCAUUUUCUGACAUGUUGAUAUGAAACCCCUGGAUCUUAAUAAACAACUUAACACUACUGGACUCUACUGGACUCAUGUCUUAAUAAACAACUUAACACUACUGGACUCUACUGGACUCAUGUCUUAAUAAACAAC